GACGAACGCUGGCGGCGUGCUUAACACAUGCAAGUCGAACGGAAAGGCCCUGCUUUUGUGGGGUGCUCGAGUGGCGAACGGGUGAGUAACACGUGAGUAACCUGCCCUUGACUUUGGGAUAACUUCAGGAAACUGGGGCUAAUACCGGAUAGGAGCUCCUGCUGCAUGGUGGGGGUUGGAAAGUUUCGGCGGUUGGGGAUGGACUCGCGGCUUAUCAGCUUGUUGGUGGGGUAGUGGCUUACCAAGGCUUUGACGGGUAGCCGGCCUGGGAGGGUGACCGGCCACAAUGGGACUGAGAGACGGCCCAGACGCCUACGGGAGGCAGCAGUGGGGAAUAUUGCACAAUGGGCGGAAGCCUGAUGCAGCAACGCCGCGUGCGGGAUGACGGCCUUCGGGUUGUAAACCGCUUUCGCCUGUGACGAAGCGUGAGUGGCGGUAAUGGGUAAAGAAGCACCGGCUAACUACGUG
rnacentral:rRNA from 1 species